rnacentral:lncRNA from 1 species
AAGGAAUUAAAAGCCAUAAUAUUGAAACAGAAAAUCUAAAUCUUUUUCUGAAACGACACACAAGCACUCUGGUCUUCCAUGCAUGGUUAAUUUCUCUGUGCUUCAGGUUUCACUUCUUGCAUCACUGCUGAUACCUCAGGUGGUUCAAGCCCAGGCUUCUCCCUCAGCAUGCUGUCCAUACUGUAGCUGUUGAAUGGGGCAGCACAGAGCUACAGCCAUGACUCUGCUGUUUCGAGAGGGAUCUCCUCAAGCAACACCCACCACUGUGGAAGAUCAAGCAGACAGGAGAGGCGGGGAAGGCAGUAUCCCAGGGACCUGCCCCAAAAGGUGUAUCUUCCUGCAGGAACAUGCCCAGGCUUCAGUGCUAUUCACCUCAGGAGUGGUCAAUCACACCCCAAGCUGGACUGCUUAUGGAGCGGACUUGUUUUGAUAAAGGGAAAAAGGCAAGCUGAUUCUUAGUAGAUUGCAUUGCUAAAUUUUUGGGUGGAGAAGAAGCAAUUCCUUGAGAGAAUUACAUCUUCAGAUGAUGUCAUGAGGACCAUCACUUCAGGGUUUUAUUGCUCCCUAAGUAAUGUACUGUCUGCCCUUUCCCAGGAAUCUAGUUUUAUACAAUCGACAAACAGCAGGGGAGCAAAAAAUAUCAUUUGCAGGACAUCGUAAACUCACACAAGUAAAUGUGGACACAAACUAUAAGUCAGCUAGUACAUUUACAGAUGUUCAUUCUUAUCCAGCUAUAGCUACUGUACCUCAGAGGUCUUGCAAACGUGGUGCAGAGGCUGCUUUGCCAUGUUGCAUGGAGAAGUAAUGAAGUCACAUGAUGCUGUUGUUUCCAUCUUUUUUUUUCCCAGCUGCUAAAUUAUAUUAUAACGCACUAAAUAGAUGCUCAAUAUUUUCCUUAUAAAAAUUUAUCAUGUAGCAAUUAGUGCAGUUAAACUCAGUGCGGAUAUGUGAUUGUAAAUGGGAGGUGGCAAUCAGCAUAAUUAGAAAAGGAAAAGAUGUGCCUGCAAAACAGCCUCUGCAUUGCAAUAUUGCCCACACUAUAAACACCUCACCACGUGGUGUGUCCCUUCUUAGUUACACAGUGUAAGUCCUCUGUUGAUUCAGGCUUGAAUUACACAGUAAAUCUUGUUUGUGAAUUUAUAGACUGUCCCUUUGAAGGCAGAAUUGUGCCAGCCUAUUUAUUUAGAGUCCUUUUUUCACUGCAGCAGCAUGCUUUUCAGAUGUAAUACCUUAGCACAAAAUCCCUGAGUGACAGCAGCUCUGCAGGCUCAUGAUACUUAUAAUACAUUAUAUAUUAUCAAUAAAAUGUUGCAAGACAUGUCA